CGAGUCUGUAACAGGCGAAUCGCUUAAUGCAAUUUAACUUCUGGACAACCAACUUGAGAUCUAUUAGAGCCAGUUACGAUCGAUCGUAUAGCUUUAUUGAUACACCGAGUAAUAUUCGGACACUUAGUAAUAUUCGGACGCUGUAACAUGAACUAAUGCCAAUGGUGUGUUUAUAAACUUUAAACGGUGUUCCGUUUUUGGUUUGUAAACGUUCUUUUCCUCAGACGCGGGACUAUUAAUCGUUUCAAUAGUCUCUAAAUGGUUAGAGGGCCAGGUCGAAUCGUCUAGCUGAUCCAGCCUUGAGAUAGGGCCUGUCUGCGCGUACACGGUCGUUCAAGAUCAAUCGAUCCGCGCGUGAAGGAUUUCUUUGUCUUGCCAUCUAUUUUUAACGGAUCGGUAAACAAGAAUAGUAAUUUGAGACAGAGUUCAGAAAACAUUUACGAAAGUUUACAGCUCGAAGAAGAUUAACACGAUUCGUUAGAUUUAAAAAAAGCGACGAAACGUUUCCCCUCUUCGUGACGGUGGUCGGUUCGGGACGAGUUUACGCAGAACCACGGGUAUCGUGUUCCUUUGCAAAAUUGUCGUUUUCUUCGUGCAGCGCGCACACGUACGCACAGGAUGUAUUUGCUUUAAUACAAACAACGGGGUCCGAUGUCUACACGUGUAAAUCUUGCUCGAAGAUUUACGAUCCAUAGGGCACUCGUUCGAUCGUUCUUUUUUUCCUUCGAUUCUGUCGAUUUUUCAUCUAUUACUCUUAUCUACGAAGACGAUUUAUACCAUCUUUGUUCGGUUGCGGAUUUCAAUGCAACGAUAGACCGUAUCUACUAGAAAGAUACAAAGUGACGACCAUAUAUCAGCGUCUCAUGGACAAACUACCAUAAGUCCAAAUUUUGUCAAUAUUAGGAUAUAUACUCGAGUUUUUCCCCGAGGGUACACAUAUAUUCAAUACAUGGGAAGGAUGUUACGGAGGCCGUGUUUACUCGUACGGAUAAUUAAAAACAAAAUCAUCGAUAAAACAACAACGAUCACAAGGGUUUAAUAAAAGCACCUGGCAAAUUGAAUUGUGGACAAAAAUACGGCAGAAGUGAUAAUCGAUAUUUUUUUUUUUUUUUUUAUGCCGAGGGAUAUUUAUAAAGCCUGGUGGAACAUCGAUAUCGUUCGAACCAAAAAAGAGGUGAUCGAGGUUGACUUUCGCGUCAACGAAGGAACUGAAAUAUCCUAAUGACCAGAGGGAGCGGCUUUACCCUACAGAGACUGAAACUCUCGUCCAUUUCAUGCAAUUACCGUGCCGUAAGUUCUCGUCGUAUUUUCAAAGAACUGUUUUCUUCUUCUUCUUUUUUUUUUUUAAGCAUCAAAGUAAACACUAUUUUUAACAGUAUCGUCAAUCAAGCUUUUACAUUUCAAUGCUUUAAAGUGUAAGAAUGGAUAACGAUCUCGGUGACGGUUAGUCGACAUCGAUAAAUUACCAAUAACAGUUCAGUUGUCCCGCUGAAUUUAGUUCUCGGGUUAAUAAAUGAUUUUAUUACGGUUUAUUCGUGCGGUGUUAUCGCCAUCCCGACCCAGAUCUUUCGAAUCAAAAAUAGUCGAAUUUUAAUUGUUUCCCUUAGGCGACGCAAUGUUUAUAUAAUUGUAACAAAUAGUAUAAUUAUUUAUGCGAAACAUAUAAAUUUUCCAAACGGUUAGAAAAUGUAAAAAAGUGUAUAAAAUGUACGUACCUUUGAAACGGUGCGUAAAUCCAAUGUUCAAAAGCAAGGCAAUUGUAAAUUUAAAUCUAAGGAGAUUUAGAUUUUAAAUUCCAUUAGGGGUUUUCUAACGGUUUUAAAUACA